rnacentral:rRNA from 1 species
UGGAUUGGAGGGGACAGAUGCNUACUUGCUCCCUGAUGUUAGCGGCGGACGGGUGAGUAACACGUGGGUAACCUGCCUGUAAGACUGGGAUAACUCCGGGAAACCGGGGCUAAUACCGGAUGCUUGAUUGAACCGCAUGGUUCAAUUAUAAAAGGUGGCUUUUAGCUACCACUUACAGAUGGACCCGCGGCGCAUUAGCUAGUUGGUGAGGUAACGGCUCACCAAGGCAACGAUGCGUAGCCGACCUGAGAGGGUGAUCGGCCACACUGGGACUGAGACACGGCCCAGACUCCUACGGGAGGCAGCAGUAGGGAAUCUUCCGCAAUGGACGAAAGUCUGACGGAGCAACGCCGCGUGAGUGAUGAAGGUUUUCGGAUCGUAAAACUCUGUUGUUAGGGAAGAACAAGUACCGUUCGAAUAGGGCGGUACCUUGACGGUACCUAACCAGAAAGCCACGGCUAACUACGUGCCAGCAGCCGCGGUAAUACGUAGGUGGCAAGCGUUGUCCGGAAUUAUUGGGCGUAAAGCGCGCGCAGGCGGUUUCUUAAGUCUGAUGUGAAAGCCCCCGGCUCAACCGGGGAGGGUCAUUGGAAACUGGGGAACUUGAGUGCAGAAGAGGAGAGUGGAAUUCCACGUGUAGCGGUGAAAUGCGUAGAGAUGUGGAGGAACACCAGUGGCGAAGGCGACUCUCUGGUCUGUAACUGACGCUGAGGCGCGAAAGCGUGGGGAGCGAACAGGAUUAGAUACCCUGGUAGUCCACGCCGUAAACGAUGAGUGCUAAGUGUUAGAGGGUUUCCGCCCUUUAGUGCUGCAGCAAACGCAUUAAGCACUCCGCCUGGGGAGUACGGUCGCAAGACUGAAACUCAAAGGAAUUGACGGGGGCCCGCACAAGCGGUGGAGCAUGNUGUUUAUUCGAAGCAACGCGAAGAACCUUACCAGGNCUUGACAUCCUCUGACACCCUAGAGAUAGGGCUUCCCCUUCGGGGCAGA